CCUACGGGUGGCAGCAGUGGGGAAUAUUGCACAAUGGGGGAAACCCUGAUGCAGCAACGCCGCGUGAGUGAAGAAGUAUUUCGGUAUGUAAAGCUCUAUCAGCAGGGAAGAAGAUGACGGUACCUGAUUAAGAAGCCCCGGCUAACUACGUGCCAGCAGCCGCGGUAAUACGUAGGGGGCAAGCGUUAUCCGGAUUUACUGGGUGUAAAGGGAGCGCAGACGGCAGUGCAAGUCUGGAGUGAAAGGCCGGGGCCCAACCCCGGAACUGCUCUGGAAACUGUGCGGCUAGAGUACUGGGGGGGCAGGCGGAAUGCCUAGUGUAGCGGUGAAAUGCGUAGAUAUAAGGAAGAACACCAGUGGCGAAGGCGGAUGACGGGACGGCAACUGACGGUGAGGCGCGAAAGCGUGGGGAGCAAACAGGAUUAGAUACCCGAGUAGUC
rnacentral:rRNA from 1 species